rnacentral:misc_RNA from 1 species
CCCUCUAACUCGGGUAAAGCUUCCUCCUCAUGGUAGUUACCCACAGCCUUCUUCAAUAAAGACACAUGAAAAACCGGGUGCACUCUAGACCCAUCAGGUAGUUUGAGCCUGUAGGCCACUGCUCCUAUACGAGCUAUGAUAGGAUAAGGACCAAAAUACCUUGCUGCCAGUUUGGCAUGUAUCCUGCUCACCACAGAUUGCUGACGGUGGGCUCUCAAUUUGACAAAGACCCACUCUCCUAUUUCAAAACUCCUAUCACACCUUUUCUUGUCCGC